rnacentral:rRNA from 1 species
UACGGGGGGGGCAAGCGUUGUUCGGAAUUACUGGGCGUAAAGGGCUCGUAGGUGGCCAACUAAGUCAGACGUGAAAUCCCUCGGCUUAACCUGGGAACUGCGUCUGAUACUGGGAGGCUUGAGUAUGGGAGAGGGAUGUAGAAUUCCAGGUGUAGCGGUGAAAUGCGUAGAUAUCUGGAGGAAUACCGGUGGCGAAGGCGGCAUCCUGGACCAUAACUGACGCUGAGGCGCGAAAGCUAGGGGAGCAAACGGG